GUGAACGAGCGACGCCGCGUGCAGGAUGAAGGCCUUCGGGUUGUAAACCGCUUUGGUCCGAAAGAAAGGGUAAAACUUGAUCGAUCGGAGAAACAAGGACGGGCUAAGUUCGUGCCAGCAGCCGCGGUAAGACGAACCGUCCAAACGUUAUUCGGAAUCACUGGGCUUAAAGGGCGCGUAGGCGGCCGAGCGGGUCGUGGGUGAAAUCCCCCAGCUUAACUGGGGAACUGCUUACGAUACCACUGCGGCUCGAGGAAGGAAGGGGCAAUUGGAACUGUCGGUGGAGCGGUGAAAUGCGUUGAUAUCGACAGGAACGCCUGUGGCGAAAGCGAAUUGCUGGUCCUUUUCUGACGCUGAGGCGCGAAAGCCAGGGGAGCAAACGGGAUUAGAUACCCCGGUAGUCCUAGCCGUAAACGAU
rnacentral:rRNA from 1 species